rnacentral:rRNA from 1 species
AGGUAUCUGCCUAGUAGUGGGGGACAACCUGGUGAAAACCAGGCUAAUACCGCAUAAGAUCUACGGAUGAAAGGAGGCCUCUUCUUGAAAGCUUUCGCUGUUAGAUGAGCCUAUGUCAGAUUAGCUAGUCGGUAGGGUAAUGGCCUACCAAGGCGACGAUCUGUAGCUGGUCUGAGAGGAUGAUCAGCCACACUGGGACUGAGACACGGCCCAG